GACGAACGCUGGCGGCGUGCCUAACACAUGCAAGUCGAACGAGGUCCAAGGGAGCUUGCUCCCUGACGACCUAGUGGCGAACGGGUGAGUAACACGUGAGAAACCUGCCUCGGAGUGGGGAAUAACUCGGGGAAACUCGAGCUAAUACCGCAUACCUUCACAUGAUCGCAUGGUCGAGUGAAGAAAGAACUUCGCUCUGAGAGGGUCUCGCGGCCUAUCAGCUAGUUGGUGGGGUAACGGCCUACCAAGGCAACGACGGGUAGCUGGUUUGAGAGAACAAUCAGCCACACUGGGACUGAGACACGGCCCAGACUCCUACGGGAGGCAGCAGUGGGGAAUCUUGCGCAAUGGGCGAAAGCCUGACGCAGCAACGCCGCGUGCGGGAUGACGGCCUUCGUGGUUGUAAACCGCUUUCAGCAGGGACGAAAUUGACGGUACCUGCAGAAGAAGCCCCGGCUAACUACGUGCCAGCCGCCGCGGUAA
rnacentral:rRNA from 1 species